UACAGAGGUCUCAAGCGUUGUUCGGAUUCAUUGGGCGUAAAGAGCUUGUAGGCGGUUUGUCGCGUCUGCUGUGAAAUUUCGGGGCUCAACCCCGAACUUGCAGUGGGUACGGGCAGACUAGAGUGUGGUAGGGGAGACUGGAAUUCCUGGUGUAGCGGUGAAAUGCGCAGAUAUCGGGAAGAACAUCGGUGGCGAAAGCGCUCUACUGGACCGCAACUGACACUCAGGGACGAAAGCUAGGGGAGCGAAUGGG
rnacentral:rRNA from 1 species